UCGAACCUCCGCCUCCCUUAAUCAACCACCGUAACAAAUUUUUCCGGCGGACCUAUUCCGACCUCAGGAGUUGCUACUUCACCGGAUCUACCAUCUCAUCGGUUUAGUUUCUCAUGAAAAAGGAGAUAAUGAUGCAGAUCUGGAUUAUAAACUGCAGCAUUUAUUUCUCUUUAAACCUAACCGCUCUGUUGGUUGGUGUUUGAAGACAAAUUUACUUCUUACUGUCUUCUACAGUUGAUCUACCUUAUCACUAAGGUUACUCUUACCACUCACUGUGGUCCCAUUACUGUCGACGCGCUCUCCAGUAACUACUUUCAAAAGUUUUCAACUACCUGUACCCUCCCGCCAUGACUUACCGACUCUCACGGUCAGAUAAAGAAAAAUGGACCGUCGACCCCCGACGUCCCCACAAGCGACCUC
rnacentral:lncRNA from 1 species